rnacentral:lncRNA from 1 species
UUAACCAAAGCACAAACGAUCAUGCUAGACGCAAUUGUUCGUUUCAAUCCCUCUUUUGCCCGGACCGCCCUUUCGGGGUUUCAGUCCACCGGGAUACCCUUUUUUGCCCAAGUCGCCUUUUCAGGUUUUCGACUUGCCGGGUGUACAAUUUUCUUUUUAUCCCUAACUUUUGCCCGAACCUUUUCUUUCUGUUUUUUGGUUCGCCGGGAUGCCCAUUUUUG